CGCUAGCUACAGGCUUAACACAUGCAAGUCGAGGGUCAGCAUGGUCUUAGCUUGCUAAGGCCGAUGGCGACCGGCGCACGGGUGAGUAACACGUAUCCAACCUGCCGUCUACUCUUGGACAGCCUUCUGAAAGGAAGAUUAAUACAAGAUGGCAUCAUGAGUCCGCAUGUUCACAUGAUUAAAGGUAUUCCGGUAGACGAUGGGGAUGCGUUCCAUUAGAUAGUAGGCGGGGUAACGGCCCACCUAGUCUUCGAUGGAUAGGGGUUCUGAGAGGAAGGUCCCCCACAUUGGAACUGAGACACGGUCCAAACUCCUACGGGAGGCAGCAGUGAGGAAUAUUGGUCAAUGGGCGAGAGCCUGAACCAGCCAAGUAGCGUGAAGGAUGACUGCCCUAUGGGUUGUAAACUUCUUUUAUAAAGGAAUAAAGUCGGGUAUGGAUACCCGUUUGCAUGUACUUUAUGAAUAAGGAUCGGCUAACUCCGUGCCAGCAGCCGCGGUAAUACGGAGGAUCCGAGCGUUAUCCGGAUUUAUUGGGUUUAAAGGGAGCGUAGAUGGAUGUUUAAGUCAGUUGUGANAGUUUGCGGCUCAACCGUAAAAUUGCAGUUGAUACUGGAUAUCUUGAGUGCAGUUGAGGCAGGCGGAAUUCGUGGUGUAGCGGUGAAAUGCUUAGAUAUCACGAAGAACUCCGAUUGCGAAGGCAGCCUGCUAAGCUGCAACUGACAUUGAGGCUCGAAAGUGUGGGUAUCAAACAGGAUUAAAUACCCUGGUAGUCCACACGGUAAACGAUGAAUACUCGCUGUUUGCGAUAUACCAGCAAGCGACCAAGCGAAAGCUUAAAGUAUUCCACCGGGGGAGUACCCGGCAACGGUGAAACUCAAAGGAAUUGACGGGGGCCCCCACAAGCGGAGGAACAUGUGGUUUAAUUCGAUGAUACGCGAGGAACCUUCCCCGGGCUAAAAUUGCAGAUGAAUUACGGUGAAAGCCGUAAGCCGCAAGGCAUCUGUGAAGGUGCUGCAUGGUUGUCGUCAGCUCGUGCCGUGAGGUGUCGGCUUAAGUGCCAUAACGAGCGCAACCCUUGUUGUCAGUUACUAACAGGUUCCGCUGAGGACUCUGACAAGACUGCCAUCGUAAGAUGUGAGGAAGGUGGGGAUGACGUCAAAUCAGCACGGCCCUUACGUCCGGGGCUACACACGUGUUACAAUGGGGGGUACAGAGGGCCGCUACCACGCGAGUGGAUGCCAAUCCCCAAAACCUCUCUCAGUUCGGACUGGAGUCUGCAACCCGACUCCACGAAGCUGGAUUCGCUAGUAAUCGCGCAUCAGCCACGGCGCGGUGAAUACGUUCCCGGGCCUUGUACACACCGCC
rnacentral:rRNA from 1 species